UACAGGGGGGCAAGCGUUGUUCGGAAUUACUGGGCGUAAAGGGCUCGUAGGCGGCCAACUAAGUCACACGUGAAAUCCCCAGGCUUAACCUGGGAACUGCGUGUGAUACUGGAUGGCUUGAAUUCGGGAGAGGAUGCAGAAUUCCAGGUGUAGCGGUGAAAUGCGUAGAUAUCUGGAGGAAUACCGGUGGCGAAGGCGGCAUCCUGGACCGACAUUGACGCUGAUGAGCGAAAGCUAGGGGAGCAAACGGGG
rnacentral:rRNA from 1 species